rnacentral:rRNA from 1 species
CAUAGCGACUAUCGUGGCAUAUCAAUAAGCGGAGGAAAAGAAACUAACAAGGAUUCCCUUAGUAACGGCGAGUGAAGCGGGAAGAGCUCAAAUUUGAAAUCUUCAAGGUUUACCUUGACGAAUUGUAGUUUAUAGAAGUGUUUUCUGUUAGUAGAGUGGCAAAAGUUCUUUGGAAUAGGACAUCAUAGAGGGUGAGAAUCCCGUAUUUGGUCAUUCUUUCUAGCUUUGUGAUACACUUUCAACGAGUCGGAUUGUUUGGGAAUGCAGUCCAAAAUGGGUGGUAAAUUUCAUCUAAAGCUAAAUAUUGGCGAGAGACCGAUAGCGAACAAGUACCGUGAGGGAAAGAUGAAAAGAACUUUGAAAAGAGAGUUAAACAGUACGUGAAAUUGUCAAAAGGGAAGCGUUUGACACCAGUGUUGUUUUCUCGAAAAUCAAUUAAAAAUGAUGGGAUUUUGUGUUGUAUUGACUUUAUCAGCUUUCUGCACUUUUUUCUUAUCUUUUUUAAUGCACUUUUCGUUUAACAAGUCAACAUCAAUUUCUUUUGUUGUAAAAGAGUCAUUGGAAGGUGGCUUUUUCUUCGGAAAAAGUGUUUAUAGCCUUUGGCUUCUGCAAUCGGAGAGAUUGAGGUCUGCAGCGUAGAUCCUUCGGGGUUAGAUACAUUUGUGCUAAGCUAUAGUUCUUUAUAGACAACUUGUUGACUAUAUCUAGUCCUGUAGCUUACUCGCUUAUGCUAUUUUACCUACGCUUAGGAUGUUGAUAUGCAUGACUGAUAU